UUGUGCCUUUAGCCCUUUUCUGUGUCCUUACAAGGCUUGCUUAUUCACUGCAUCCCUGCGUGCAGGAUCUUCUUCCCAUGGGGUUGUGGAUCGCCCCUCCAGCUCAACACUUGCCUUCGUGUUACUCUCCCUCUACUGCAGACCAAUGCCUUCUAGCCUGUUUCCAUUGCUGCACCAGCCUGCACCCCAGCUCCGAGCCUGCACUUCCGGCGGUCCCUGCAUGGACACCUGUGGAAAGGCCACCCCCGCGUGCAUUGGCCAGUGAGCGUUAACUGGACACAUCGGGGAUCUUCCGGAUCAACGAUGUUUUUUCUGCAUGUGAAAAACAUUUUUUGUAUAUCAGAACAAGGACAGAACAUCAGCCAGCAAUUCUAACGA
rnacentral:lncRNA from 1 species